AAUGAACGCUGGCGGCAUGCCUAACACAUGCAAGUCGAACGAAGGCUUCGGCCUUAGUGGCGCACGGGUGCGUAACGCGUGGGAAUCUGCCCCUUGGUUCGGAAUAACAGUUAGAAAUGACUGCUAAUACCGGAUGAUUACGUAAGUCCAAAGAUUUAUCGCCGAGGGAUGAGCCCGCGUAGGAUUAGCUAGUUGGUGUGGUAAGAGCGCACCAAGGCGACGAUCCUUAGCUGGUCUGAGAGGAUGAUCAGCCACACUGGGACUGAGACACGGCCCAGAAUCCUACGGGAAGCAGCAGUGGGGAAUAUUGGACAAUGGGCGAAAGCCUGAUCCAGCAAUGCCGCGUGAGUGAUGAAGGCCUUAGGGUUGUAAAGCUCUUUUACCCGGGAUGAUAAUGACAGUACCGGGAGAAUAAGCACCGGCUAACUCCGUG
rnacentral:rRNA from 1 species